AGCAUAUUUUUCAAAAAAUAAAUUUCAAAAGAGUCUUCUGAAAACUUAUGAUUUUAAACAUAGCGGAAUUUUCAUGCGCAGCGACGGUAUGU